rnacentral:sRNA from 1 species
GACACGCUUUAACCGGCAAUUAAUGUUUGCGCGGUAAUCUCUCAUUAUUCAGGUUCUUCUGAAUUUUUCAGAGUGGUUUCUCCCUCUGUUUGACGCCUCCCUGUUAACUUCGAGAGCCGUUCUUACGGCUCUUUUUUC